rnacentral:tRNA from 1 species
GGCGUGGUAUAGUAGCUAGGAUACCUGGCUUUCACCCAGGAGGCCCAGGUUCAAUUCCCGGCGUC